UGCCAGCAGCCGCGGUAACACGGGGGGCGCAAGCGUUAUUCGGAAUUAUUGGGCGUAAAGGGCGCGCAGGCGGUGCGGCAAGUCAGUUGUGAAAGCCCUCGGCUCAACCGAGGAAUUGCGACUGAAACUGCCGGACUUGAGUCCCGGAGAGGGUAGCGGAAUUCCCAGUGUAGCGGUGAAAUUCGUAGAUAUCAGGAGGAACACCGAUGGCGAAGGCAUCUCUCUGAGUCGAUAUUGACGCUGAGGCGCGAAGGCGUGGGUAGCGAACGGGAUUAGAUA
rnacentral:rRNA from 1 species